GAACCAGACUCCUACGGGAGGCAGCAGUGGGGAAUAUUGCACAAUGGGCGCAAGCCUGAUGCAGCCAUGCCGCGUGUAUGAGGAAGGCCUUCGGGUUGUAAAUUACUUUCAGCGGGGAGGAAGGCGAUAAGGUUAAUAACCUUGUCGAUUGACGUUACCCGCAGAAGAAGCACCGGCUAACUCCGUGCCAGCAGCCGCGGUAAUACGGAGGGUGCAAGCGUUAAUCGGAAUUACUGGGCGUAAAGCGCACGCAGGCGGUCUGUCAAGUCGGAUGUGAAAUCCCCGGGCUCAACCUGGGGACUGCAUUCGAAACUGGCAGGCUGGAGUCUUGUAGGGGGGGGUAGAAUUCCAGGUGUAGCGGUGAAAUGCGUAGAGAUCUGGAGGAAUACCGGUGGCGAAGGCGGCCCCCUGGACAAAGACUGACGCUCAGGUGCGAAAGCGUGGGGAGCAAACAGGAUUAGAUACCCCAGUAAG
rnacentral:rRNA from 1 species